AUGAAGCCGGUUCAAUGGCUGUCAAAAAUUGUUAUUGAGACUGGAAUCUUACACAUCAUGGAUAACUUACCAGAAGGGUCAAAGAAGGUUGUUAUGCCACUGAGGUUUUCUAUGAAUUUACAGCAAGGGAUCCACAACGUGAAUGAGAUAAACAAGAAGUUUGAUUACAAGAACCGUCUCGACAAGAAAGACUUGGGGAGUGUCAUGCUGCCAGUGCUCGAGUGCGCUGAUGUAACCGAUAAGGAGGGAGGGAGGCAUUAUUGGGUCUUCAAUGUCAACUUGAGGGACAGACGCUUCUAA
rnacentral:rRNA from 1 species